rnacentral:rRNA from 1 species
UACAGAGGGUGCAAGCGUUGUUCGGAAUUAUUGGGCGUAAAGGGCGCGUAGGCGGUGCCACAAGUCACCUGUGAAAUCUCCGGGCUUAACUCGGAGCCUGCAGGCGAAACUGUGGUGCUGGAGUGUGGGAGACGGUGCGUGGGAAUUCCCGGUGUAGCGGUGAAAUGGCGUAGAUAUCGGGGAGGAACACCUGUGGCGGAAAAGCGGCGCACUGGGACC